GUGCUCACUUCAGCAGCACAUAUACUAAAAUUGGAAUGAUGCAGAGAUUAACAUGGCCCCUGUGAAAGGAUGACACGCAAAUUCGUGAAGCAUUCCAUAUUAAA